rnacentral:rRNA from 1 species
GUAGUCUCGCACAGAUGCAUAUCAAUAAGCGGAGGAAAAGAAACUAACAAGGAUUCCCCUAGUAACGGCGAGUGAAGCGGGAAGAGCUCAAAUUUGAAAUCUUAAAGGGUUUCCCUUUACGAAUGUAGUUUAAAGAAGUGUUUUCUGUUGAGGUUUUGGUAAAAGUUCUUUGGAAUAGGACAUCAUAGAGGGUGAGAAUCCCGUAUUUGACCUUUACUUUCAACUUUGUGAUACACUUUCAAAGAGUCGGAUUGUUUGGGAAUGCAGUCCAAAAUGGGUGGUAAAUUUCAUCUAAAGCUAAAUAUUGGCGAGAGACCGAUAGCGAACAAGUACCGUGAGGGAAAGAUGAAAAGAACUUUGAAAAGAGAGUUAAACAGUACGUGAAAUUGUCAAAAGGGAAGCGUUUGACACCAGUGUUGUUUUUCUGAAAAUCAAUUAAAGAACUGUUUAUGCUAAGUUGUUUAGACUUUAUCAGCUAACUGUUUAGUUUUGAGCUUUUCUUUAAUGCACUUUUCAGUUAACAAGUCAACAUCAAUUUCUUUUGCUGUAAAAAAGCUUGAGGAAGGUGGCUUGAGAUUCGUCUUAAGUGUUUAUAGCCUCUUGCCUAUGCAGUCGGAGAGAUUGAGGUUGCAGCGUAGAUCCUUCGGGGCUAAAUGCAUUUGUGCUAAGUUAUAGCAUUUCAUAGACAACUUGUUGACUAUGAUUUGUCUUGUAGCUUACUCGCUUAUGUUAUAUUACCUACGCUUAGGAUGUUGAUCUGUAGUGCGUGCGC